rnacentral:rRNA from 1 species
UACGAAGGGGGCUAGCGUUGUUCGGAAUUACUGGGCGUAAAGCGCACGUAGGCGGAUAUUUAGGUCAGGGGUGAAAUCCCAGAGCUCAACUCUGGAACUGCCUUUGAUACUGGGUAUCUUGAGUAUGGAAGAGGUAAGUGGAAUUGCGAGUGUAGAGGUGAAAUUCGUAGAUAUUCGCAGGAACACCAGUGGCGAAGGCGGCUUACUGGUCCAUAACUGACGCUGAGGUGCGAAAGCGUGGGGAGCAAACAGG